ensembl:snRNA U6 U6 spliceosomal RNA
GUCCUCACUCUGGCAGCACAUUUACUAAUAUUAAAAUGAUGCAGAAAGAUUAGCAUUGUUUCUGAGCAAAGGUGACUCCAAGAAUGGUGAUAGAGUCCAUAUAUAU